UUUAAAUGUUCAGAAGAACAUACUUGUAAAUCCUCUGAAGUCCCUUGUUUUGAUCAGAUUCUCAAAGUUUGGAGUUUGAACAUUGUGGUUAUUCACAUCUAUGGCAAUUUUGCUUUUCAUCUUUUUCACAGCUGCUUCUCAGAUAGAGGAUUCAGUGAUAUCACAGUGGUGGUUUGCCAUUUCAGCGUGAGUGUUGGGAGGCUGUUCAAUCUGAGUUCAUCCGAUUAGUAAUUGGCUGCAGGAUUCCUGACCAGCUAGUUUCCAUUCAUGAACCUAGGUCACUGUCACCAACUGCAAGGGAAGCUGCUCACAAGAGAUCACCAGCUCUUAACCCACCAUGGAUGAAAAGCAUGCAGGGAAGCCAGCUGGAUUCGAACUCGGGACCUCCCGCCCCGCAGACCAGCACUGAUGCCACUAUGCCACCAGCCAGGUCUUUACCAGGGGUUCUUUUGAAGACCUGGAGUUACACGCAGGCUUCGGUUCUUUGCGGGAAUGGGACCCAUUCUUGAGGUUCCACAACCGUCAGUUGUUUGACAUGCCAAGGGUUUGGCCUGAGAGUCUCGAUCCUGUUCGGAAGCCUAAGAUCUUGGGGCUCUGGAGAUGGGCGGAUCGAGGGUCGGUGUCGCGGCAGGAGACUCAUGUGUCAUUGGGAGGCUGGAAAAUCUUUUGCUGUGGGCCUGAAGACCCGAGGUCUUUGCGAUCUUCAGACACAGAGCUCAAAAAAAGCGAUGAACGGACUUUUCAUAUCAUAAACCAGCCAGUUGUUGUUAUGUCUCCCGCUCACUGUGAAAAUGGGGGACAUCGCCCUCUCCCUUGCCAGGGAGAUAGAGAACCUGUGGUUUGUCAAAUGUCGGAUGAAGUGCGAAGCCUUUGGGGUAACUUUGGUCUGUGUAUUUGCUAUCGCUUUGCUCAUGCUUGUGCUCAGUAGCGGGUGUGCUUUUUGUUUUACCGGUGGGGGGAGGGGGAUUG